GACGAACGCUGGCGGCGUGCUUAACACAUGCAAGUCGAACGGAAAGGCCCUGCUUUUGUGGGGUGCUCGAGUGGCGAACGGGUGAGUAACACGUGAGUAACCUGCCCUUGACUUUGGGAUAACUUCAGGAAACUGGGACUAAUACCGGAUAGGAGCUCCUGCUGCAUGGUGGGGGUUGGAAAGUUUCGGCGGUUGGGGAUGGACUCGCGGCUUAUCAGCUUGUUGGUGGGGUAGUGGCUUACCAAGGCUUUGACGGGUAGCCGGCCUGAGAGGGUGACCGGCCACAUUGGGACUGAGAUACGGCCCAGACUCCUACGGGAGGCAGCAGUGGGGAAUAUUGCACAAUGGGCGGAAGCCUGAUGCAGCAACGCCGCGUGCGGGAUGACGGCCUUCGGGUUGUAAACCGCUUUCGCCUGUGACGAAGCGUGAGUGACGGUAAUGGGUAAAGAAGCACCGGCUAACUACGUGCCAGCAGCCGCGGUGAUACGUAGGGUGCGAGCGUUGUCCGGAUUUAUUGGGCGUAAAGGGCUCGUAGGUGGUUGAUCGCGUCGGAAGUGUAAUCUUGGGGCUUAACCCUGAGCGUGCUUUCGAUACGGGUUGACUUGAGGAAGGUAGGGGAGAAUGGAAUUCCUGGUGGAGCGGUGGAAUGCGCAGAUAUCAGGAGGAACACCAGUGGCGAAGGCGGUUCUCUGGGCCUUUCCUGACGCUGAGGAGCGAAAGCGUGGGGAGCGAACAGGCUUAGAUACCCUGGUAGUCCACGCUGUAAACGGUGGGUACUAGGUGUGGGGUCCAUUCCACGGGUUCCGUGCCGUAGCUAACGCUUUAAGUACCCCGCCUGGGGAGUACGGCCGCAAGGCUAAAACUCAAAGGAAUUGACGGGGCCCCGCACAAGCGGCGGAGCAUGCGGAUUAAUUCGAUGCAACGCGUAGAACCUUACCUGGGUUUGACAUGGAUCGGGAGUGCUCAGAGAUGGGUGUGCCUCUUUUGGGGUCGGUUCACAGGUGGUGCAUGGCUGUCGUCAGCUCGUGUCGUGAGAUGUUGGGUUAAGUCCCGCAACGAGCGCAACCCUUGUUCACUGUUGCCAGCACGUUAUGGUGGGGACUCAGUGGAGACCGCCGGGGUCAACUCGGAGAAAGGUGGGGAUGACGUCAAGUCAUCAUGCCCCUUAUGUCCAGGGCUUCACGCAUGCUACAAUGGCUGGUACAGAGAGUGGCGAGCCUGUGAGGGUGAGCGAAUCUCGGAAAGCCGGUCUCAGUUCGGAUUGGGGUCUGCAACUCGACCUCAUGAAGUCGGAGUCGCUAGUAAUCGCAGAUCAGCAACGCUGCGGUGAAUACGUUCCCGGGGCU
rnacentral:rRNA from 1 species